AGUCACUGACAUUAGAUACCCCGGUAGUCCCAGCCGUAAACAAUGUGCGUUAGGUGUGUCGGUGACCACGCGUUACUGAUGCGCCGAAGAGAAAUCGUGAAACGCACCACCUGGGAAGCACGGUCGCAAGGCUGAAACUUAAAGGAAUUGGCGGGGAGCACCACAACAGGUGGAGCCUGCGGUUUAAUUGGAUUCAACGCCGGACAUCUCACCGGAUAAGACAGCUGAAUGAUUGUCAAUCUGAAGGUUUUACAUGACUAGCUG
rnacentral:rRNA from 1 species